rnacentral:rRNA from 1 species
GGUGAACGCUGGCGGCGUGCCUAAUACAUGCAAGUCGAGCGAACAGACGAGGAGCUUGCUCCUCUGACGUUAGCGGCGGACGGGUGAGUAACACGUGGAUAACCUACCUAUAAGACUGGGAUAACUUCGGGAAACCGGAGCUAAUACCGGAUAAUAUAUUGAACCGCAUGGUUCAAUAGUGAAAGACGGUUUUGCUGUCACUUAUAGAUGGAUCCGCGCCGCAUUAGCUAGUUGGUAAGGUAACGGCUUACCAAGGCAACGAUGCGUAGCCGACCUGAGAGGGUGAUCGGCCACACUGGAACUGAGACACGGUCCAGACUCCUACGGGAGGCAGCAGUAGGGAAUCUUCCGCAAUGGGCGAAAGCCUGACGGAGCAACGCCGCGUGAGUGAUGAAGGUCUUCGGAUCGUAAAACUCUGUUAUUAGGGAAGAACAAAUGUGUAAGUAACUAUGCACGUCCUGACGGUACCUAAUCAGAAAGCCACGGCUAACUACGUG